GACGAACGCUGGCGGCGUGCUUAACACAUGCAAGUCGAACGGAAAGGCCCCUUUGGGGGUACUCGAGUGGCGAACGGGUGAGUAACACGUGAGUAACCUGCCCUUGACUUCGGGAUAACUUCAGGAAACUGGGGCUAAUACCGGAUAGGAAUCCUUGCUGCAUGGUGGGGGUUGGAAAGCUUCGGCGGUUUUGGAUGGACUCGCGGGUUAUCAGCUUGUUGGUGGGGUAGUGGCUUACCAAGGCUUUGACGGGUAGCCGGCCUGAGAGGGCGACCGGCCACCUUGGGACUGAGAUACGGCCCAGACUCCUACGGGAGGCAGGAGUGGGGAAUAUUGCCCCAUGGGCGGAAGCCUGAUGCAGCAACGCCGCGUGCGGGAUGACGGCCUUCGGGUUGUAAACCGCUUUCAGCAGGGGCGAAGCUUGUGGUGACGGUACCUGCAGAAGAAGCACCGGCUAACUACGUG
rnacentral:rRNA from 1 species